rnacentral:rRNA from 1 species
CUGGCUCAGGAUGAACGCUGGCGGCGUGCUUAACACAUGCAAGUCGAGCGAAGCACUUUUUUAGAACUCUUCGGAGGGAAGAGAGGGUGACUUAGCGGCGGACGGGUGAGUAACGCGUGGGCAACCUGCCUUACACAGGGGGAUAACAAUUAGAAAUGAUUGCUAAUACCGCAUAAGACCCCGGUACCGCAUGGUACAGAGGUAAAAACUGAGGUGGUGUAAGAUGGGCCCGCGUCUGAUUAGGUAGUUGGUGGGGUAGAAGCCUACCAAGCCGACGAUCAGUAGCCGACCUGAGAGGGCGACCGGCCACAUUGGGACUGAGACACGGCCCAAACUCCUACGGGAGGCAGCAGUGGGGAAUAUUGCACAAUGGGGGAAACCCUGAUGCAGCGACGCCGCGUGAGUGAGGAAGUAUUUCGGUAUGUAAAGCUCUAUCAGCAGGGAAGAAAAUGACGGUACCUGACUAAGAAGCCCCGGCUAACUACGUGCCAGCAGCCGCGGUAAUACGUAGGGGGCAAGCGUUAUCCGGAUUUACUGGGUGUAAAGGGAGCGUAAACGGAUAAGCAAGUCUGAUGUGAAAAUCCGGGGCCCAACCCCGGAAUUGCAUUGGAAACUGCAUAUCUAGAGUGUCGGAGAGGCAAGUGGAAUUCCUGGUGUAGCGGUGAAAUGCGUANAUAUCAGGAGGAACACCAGUGGCGAA